rnacentral:piRNA from 1 species
UGGAAAUCAAAAUCCAGGACUGCUAGCAUUU